GAUGAACGCUGGCGGCGUGCCUAAUACAUGCAAGUCGAGCGAACGGACGAGAAGCUUGCUUCUCUGAUGUUAGCGGCGGACGGGUGAGUAACACGUGGAUAACCUACCUAUAAGACUGGGAUAACUUCGGGAAACCGGAGCUAGUACCGGAUAAUAUUUUGAACCGCAUGGUUCAAAAGUGAAAGACGGUCUUGCUGUCACUUAUAGAUGGAUCCGCGCUGCAUUAGCUAGUUGGUAAGGUAACGGCUUACCAAGGCAACGAUGCAUAGCCGACCUGAGAGGGUGAUCGGCCACACUGGAACUGAGACACGGUCCAGACUCCUACGGGAGGCAGCAGUAGGGAAUCUUCCGCAAUGGGCGAAAGCCUGACGGAGCAACGCCGCGUGAGUGAUGAAGGUCUUCGGAUCGUAAAACUCUGUUAUUAGGGAAGAACAUAUGUGUAAGUAACUGUGCACAUCUUGACGGUACCUAAUCAGAAAGCCACGGCUAACUACGU
rnacentral:rRNA from 1 species